GUGAGCGAAAUGCAUGUUGUUUGGUGAGGGUUUGGCUUGGUGAGGGUUUGGUGAGGAUUUGGCUUGGUGAGGGUUUGGUUCGGCGAUGGUUUGCUUGUUGUUUGGCGUGGUGAGGGUUUGGUGAAUUGAGUAAGGGAGUGGGAGGUACUGAUUGAGUGAUUGAGUGAGGAUGAACAGAGACAGGUACUAGUUGGGUUUCCUCUCUGCAUGGAGUUAAUAUUGAUACAUUCUCAGUGUCCCAUUUAUAUCUAAAUUGGUAAAACCACUAAAGUGCUUCUCAUUUACUUACUGGAAGCACAACAUGAAGACAAACAAAGAACGAUGUGACACACAUUCCACAUGCAGGCCUACCUUUGAUAACCGAAACGAUUCAACUUUGUUUCGUUAUCAUACAAUCAUUAAUGAUCAAACGAAACUUCUUCAUCUGUUUGACAAUCACUCAGAAGAGACGAAACCCCGCGCGGUCUGCCAGCACAACUCCUGUCACUCACAUGUACCCUCAGCUUCGGCUGGUCCGCAGAGAGCCGCCAUUUUGAAGCCGCGUGAACCUGUCAGUUGUCAAGACUUGAACACCGUUGUCGGUCGAUCGUGACAGACGGAUCCACGCGCUCCAGUGGAUAUGAAGCAACAUGACGAAUUAACCUUUCUUUUGUUUGCGUGUGCGUGCAAAGAAAUGGUGUCGCAAGAUUGAGAGUUGUUUUAAAUGCUGUGUCUGUCGUCUUCAUUAUCUGCCAUUAUAAUUAAAAACAGAUUUGUUCCGCCUUCUUACUCCUUCUAAUAUUACAAGGGUCAUGGGCUUUCAACACGACAGCUAGUAUGGUUACAGUGUCCAGCGAGCCCCCUGCCACCAAUGUUUCAGGCCUUGCAGACAACAUUACGGCUGUGAGCAGAACCACAAGAGAUGUGAUCCCUCAGAAGACUGGACUUGGAAACAUCAGUAUGACAACGGGUCCCAUUUCAAUCCCACCAGCGAUCACCCAACCAGCUGUCAACAAGUCAACAACGCCCGAAGCCAGUAAGCCUACAGCAACCAAACCAGAGACAAACUCUUCCCCAACUAUGAAACCCCAAACACCCUGGAAACAAAAAGAAUUUUUCACCAACAAAGAUUUCGACGAGCUGGAUAAACGAUUCACGUAUGAUUACUUUACUCUGCGGAAGGCCGGGCUGGUGGUGGCGGCGGUGCUCUUCCUCCUCGGCCUCCUGGUGCUGGGCUGCGGACCCGGAGGACGCCUGCCAAAAUGCCGCCGUCUGAGGGCCACAAAGUCAUACCAAAUGGAGAAAAAAUGAGGACAGAGUUUCUGCAGAGUUAUGUAAAGUGUAGACUAACUUUGGAGUUGUGUGUGCAGAAAGCAUCAGUAAAGUACAAUUACCUAAAUAAAAUCCUUGCCUGUGUGUGUGUGUGUGUGUGUGUGUGUGUGUGUGUGUGUGUGUGUGCGCGCGCGUGUGUGUGUGUGUGUUGUGUCUGUGCGUGUGUGUUUGUAUGUGUGCAUGACAUGUGUGUGUUUACACAACUGUGUGCACAUGGGUGUGCUUUGUAUGACUAAGCCUCAGCACCAUGAGCCUAAGCCUCAUGCCUAAGAAUGGAAAAACACUGAAGACUUGAAGUCAACAUGAAUAAAACAGACAGGGAAGACUGCAGGACUCUGGUUGACCUCCAUUAAAGUUAGCCUAGCUAACUCAACAUAAUGACACAACUGAGCGUGUCUUCAGUUUAUUUACCAAGCUAACUUAACCUAACUAAAGACAUACAUUUAGUUCAGUUAACCUGCUUUUUGAACCUCCCUAUAGCCACAAGCAUACGUGUCUUUAGUUUACCUAGCUAACUAAAUAUCACUAAAGCACAUAACUGAACCUAACUUAGACCUAACUAUAGACACAAGUGUAUGCGUCUUGAGUUAACCCGCUGACUAAACCAAAAUGAAACAUGUGUGUCUUUGUUUUUUUAACCCAGCUUACUAAACCUAACUAAACAAACACGUGUGCCUUUAGUUAGGUUAACAGAGAUAACCAAACCUUAAUAAGACCCACAUAUAUUGCUUUUGAUACUUGUAAGGACCCAUGCACGUUGCUUCUAGGUACCCGUUAAGGGGAAUCUACUUGAGACGCGAUGGGACACGUGACGGUUCUUGUAGUAUCAGCCAUCUUUUUUGACUUGACUAUUUUGUUCAACUUUUCAAUAUUUGGUUAGCUUUGAGCCAACAGAAACAAUGCUAUCCACAUUUUGUUUGAUGUUGUAAACAGCCCGAUAGUGGCGAAUCAUAAUUUUUAUUAUUCAAGAUAACUUCAGUUUUUGAUUACAUUGAAAUCAUCAGCCGACGUCAGGAUGUAAAUAAAAUAAAAUUAUCAGUUCUGUUUUCGGUUCUGGGAA
ensembl:lncRNA